rnacentral:rRNA from 1 species
AUUGAACGCUGGCGGCAUGCUUUACACAUGCAAGUCGGACGAGAGGCGGAGGGGUGAGUAACAGAGCGGAACGUACCGAGGAAAGGGGGAUAACUAAUCGAAAGCUUAGCUAAUAGCGCAUAUUAUUCGAGCGGCCGAUAUCUGAUUAGCUGGUUGGUGGGGUAAAGGCCUACCAAGGCGACGAUCAGUAGCGGGGCUGAGAGGAUGAUCCGCCACACUGGGACUGAGACACGGCCCAGACUCCUACGGGAGGCAGCAGUGGGGAAUUUUGGACAAUGGGCGCAAGCCUGAUCCAGCCAUGCCGCGUGUCUGAAGAAGGCCUUCGGGUUGUAAAGGACUUUUGUCAGGGAAGCGGUACCUGAAGAAUAAGCACCGGCUAACUACGUGCCAGCCGCCGCGGUAAUAC